AUCAUCCCCAAUAUAAUAAAGACAGUAGUAAACUUCAUGGCAGUGAGCUGCCUACAUGAAACUCCAAAGGGAGACAGGAUGAGUUGCAUACAUGACUAUUAGCCCUCAGUAACACAGCUGAUGCAUUGGCUCUGGACUCUGCUUGUUAACCCUUGAGACUCCCAGGCUGAUAAAUCCUGGUUUAAGAGAUCUGGCAAAACCAGAGCUCACGCAGCAGCUAGUGUCCACUGCUGCGUCAACUAUGGACACAUGUAUGACUUUUAAUUGCUCUUUGUCACAGUUUGUCUGUUGGUGGCUUGUGUGUGACUAUACAUGUUGAAAAUCAAAGUAAAAUUAACCAUGGUUUAUGUCAAACUAAAUCAAAGUGUGAAGCCAUUUUAUAUAUAUAUCAUAAGGGGGUGAUAAAUUGUUAUUAUUAUUAUUAUAGUGUAGGAGACAACAUAAUGCUAUGAAGACCUACAAAUAAAAAGCAAUACUUCUUUACAUAUGAGAAAUAUGUAUUUCUGUUACUCUCAAGUUCUCCUGUAUCUUGCCAUAUUGAAUUUACACUACAACAGCAACAGCGUAUAGUAUAGUAGCAUCAGAUGGGACACCUCGUCUGUUUAAUAUUUAUUCAAAAGCAUCAGAGGGGCCUCUGUUGUGUGUUCUAAUGAAUAAAACACGAUGUUUAUCCUUCCUGUUUAACGUUAAGUCCCCAUGAACAGUCACAGGGACCAAGAGAAUAUUUACUUGUGUUAGGACACCAGGGAGUUGGAUUAUCUGCUGGCGGCUUUGUAGUUUUCUGAAGCUUCCCCCGUGUGACAUGUUCCAGUGAGAGUGCUCUUAUUUACUCUCCAGUCCUCUGUGUAUAGCCCUCCUUAUUGUUUGUUCCUAUGUGCCACCACUCCUGAGGACUGUGCUCCAGGAGAGAGAGAGAGAUGGAGAGAGGGAGAGAGAGACUGUACUGUGAUCAUUACAUGGGAUUGAGACUGUAGACUCCAGAAGAACACAGAUGGAGGUGUUGUCAUCAUUAGAAAAAGGAUUUUAUGUUGACAGGCAUUUACAUGUAUCAAGGGACAUGUGUGCAAGAAAAUGGGUUUACAUUUUUCUCCUUCAAUAAUAAUGACGUGUGUAUAGUUUAAAUAUUUUUUUCUUUGUUAAAUUUAGUUUUGUUUUUCGUUUUCAAACCACAAAUCUUCCCUUUUUUCACCAGGAGUCAUGGAAGUGAAUAACUUGUUCACUAAUCUUCACAUCCAGCAGUAAGAUGAACAGAGAGCUGAUGAUUCAUAGAGAAAAGUGACAAAACAUUAAUUAUCCACUUCAAGCUGAAAAACAUUCGUAAGAAUAUCGGACACAUAUAAACGCUACAACAGCCUUCAUGAGGUAUUUCUUUAUACCGAAAGGUGGCGACAUUGGGUUUCCAAAAGAUGUCAUUCAACCAGACCUGUGCCAUGCUCUUUCCAAACAUUUCCACCUUUCUAUCACAGCGAUCUGCUGUAUUUAUGCACAGCUGUUUUUGCGAUUAUUUUAAUGACAUAUAGAGCAUUUGUCUCUCAGUGCCAAUCACUUAAAGGCAUUCUGAUGCAUUCUAAUAAUGUUUGGGAUGAAACGGAUGUUGUGUUGUCUGAGAAUAGUUUUUUUUUUUUUAAGAUCGAUUUCUUAGUUAAUUAGCAAGUUGCCUACAAUUAAUGAAAAACGUUUGUGUAAAGUUCGCCAAUAAACACACACAUUAAGGGCAGGAUUAAUCGACAGAAAAGCGCUGAAAAAAACAAUAUUGUUGAUAAAUCUGACUCCAGGAUUCAAUUCAAUUUAUAUAUUUGGUGAUUGUUUUGCCGAAAAAAACAUUAAAAACUGUUCAAAUUGAAUCGACUGGUAAAUCUAAAAAAGAAACGCAUGCAUAUUUACCACCUGACAUCUUCUGUUAAUGCUCGGAAUCUGUUUUAUUUUGCUUUCUUCUUUCUUUUCAAUGCAAAAUGGAAAAAAGGAUGAAUAUUGAGUCUCAUGUGUCAAUCUUCUGAUGGGCUCGGACAGUUCAGAAAACUUUGGUUUCUAUACUAUUAUGCUAAUUACGUCCCCGGGCUGCGCUGCUCAUUGGCUGAGUCUCGGUCAAUUUCAUAUUUCAGUCCUGACGUCAGGACGCCUAUAAAACUAAGCAAUGCUUUUUAACUCGUAGGCUGACUGAUCCCUUAGAAAAAAAAAUCUAUCAAUCCUUGGGUGGAGUUUUUUUUCCCGUUCUCCACAAGGCAACUAUUUGCCCGGGACACGUACGUGAACCUCCUCAAUUUGGCGCACUAAUCCUAAAAGGAGCCAUGAAGUGUUAAAUGGUAGAAACAGAGAGAGCGGCGCUCAGACACCCGCACGCUGGGAGAGAGGGAGGAAACAGCGCUGCUCCAAUGCGUCUGUGCAACACAGACUGAAGAAAAAAAAAACUUAUCGACUCACAAAACCAAAUCCUGCGCUGCGCAAUUAGUGCGAGAAAAUCCACUUUUUCCUCCGGUUUUGAAGAAAAUAAAUAAAGAAAUCAAGCUGGCUCAGUGCGUGUCUCAGCAGCCCACUUUGACAGGUGCUCCUCACCCCCUUUGGAGGACUGUCAACAGCAAGAGGAUGGCAUCAGAGCUGGCAAUGAGCAACUCCGACCUGCCCACCAGUCCCCUGGCCAUGGAAUAUGUUAAUGACUUCGAUCUGAUGAAGUUUGAAGUGAAAAAGGAGCCGGUGGAGCCCGAUCGCAGCAUCAGCCAGUGCAGCCGCCUGGUCGCCGGGGGAUCCCUAUCUUCCACCCCGAUGAGCACGCCUUGCAGCUCGGUUCCCCCCUCUCCAAGCUUCUCGGCGCCCAGUCCGGGAUCAGGGAGCGAACAGAAGGCGCACUUGGAGGAUUUCUACUGGAUGACCGGGUACCAACAGCAGUUGAACCCCGAGGCUCUGGGCUUUAGCCCGGAGGACGCCGUAGAGGCGCUGAUCAGCAGCAGUCACCAGCUCCAGACCUUCGAUGGCUAUGCCAGGGGGCAGCAGUUCGGCGGCGCAGCCGGGGCAGGAGGCGCCAUGGCCGGGGAGGAGAUGGGAUCAGCGGCCGCCGUGGUGUCCGCGGUUAUCGCUGCAGCUGCAGCUCAAAACGGGACUCCCCACCACCAUCACCACCACCACCACCACCACCACGCAGGAGCACACCACCCGUCCUCCGGGUCUCAGUCCGGCGGCGGCGCGGGUGGAAACCACCAGCACCUGCGCUUGGAAGAUCGGUUCUCGGACGAGCAGCUGGUGACCAUGUCGGUGCGGGAAUUGAACCGGCAGCUCCGGGGGGUCAGCAAGGAAGAGGUGAUUCGUCUGAAACAGAAGAGGAGGACGCUAAAGAACAGAGGCUAUGCCCAGUCCUGCCGGUACAAGCGGGUCCAGCAGCGGCACGUCCUGGAGGGAGAGAAGACGCAACUCAUUCAGCAGGUGGACCACCUCAAGCAGGAGAUCUCCCGGCUGGCCAGGGAGAGGGACGUCUACAAGGAGAAAUACGAAAAGCUGAUCAGCACCGGCUUCAGAGAAAACGGAGGAUCCAGCAGCGACAACAACCCUUCAUCCCCGGAGUUUUUCAUGACAUCAAGAAAAUUCCUCCAUCUGUGAUAGAGAGCUGUCACCUCUUCGUCCCGCCGCCGAGUCUGAGAUGGGAAGAUGUGGGGAUUUCAGAGGACGGCAAAGGAUGAUAGACUGAGAGAAGGAAAGCAAGGACUAGUUUUUUGUCGCCAGUCGGAAAAUGGAGGGAGAGAGACGAGGAGCUGAAGACGACUAGAAGUGGAGAAUCGAGGGAAAGUUAGGGGAGGAGUCGAGGCACUGAGCGAAGGAAGGCACCUGGAUUUGAAUGCAGACACGCACACGAGAGUGAGAGGACAGGAGGAGGCGAGGGAAGGGAGGAAUGGAUGGAAGGAGGGCUCCUGGCCAUGGAUGCAGACAGACAGGCAGGGUAACCAGAGGCAGGCGGUGACCUUCUCUGCUGCUGGAGGAUCGAAGGCUUUAUUUAAAGGCCUGGUCAAUGCUGGGUGCUGCUGAGGUAUCAGCCUCGCAGCCAGGCGACUCAUCACCACUGUAAUACAACUCUCUAACCCUAACCCCCCUCCCACACACACACACACACACACACACACACACAUAUACACACACACACACACACACAGGACAGGACAGUCUCCGGACACCUCAGGUUUUACACUGUAUAGUCGAGAGGCUGGACAGAGGAAACUACAGCAUCAGCAUCAGCUAAUUUUACUGUGAAGCAGACAGAAUACUCUACUUUCUUCAUGUGCUCAGCAUUGUGAAGCACAUGCUUGUUUUGCCUUUGAUAUGCAAAACUCCAUCACUGUCCAUUUUUUUGCUAUUGAUUAUUUAUAAAUAGACAGCAUAAUGCAUGUCUUUAUAUGAGGUAUUGACAUAGUGAGGAUGGAAGUGGUGAAGGAGUUAAAAAAAGGGACAGACUGCAGGCUGCUAAGAGAGCGAGCAGCAGGCGUUCCCAGCAGCACAGCAGAGCAGACCAGGAGGGAGGGAUGAAGUUAUUGACUCCACUUUGAUUUAACCUCUCCUGCCUGAUCCUCAGAAGUGCACAGACACAUGCAGAUUGGGGAAUUCUCAAAAUAACUGCUGCCCUCUCAGAGGUGUACAUGUUAAAGAUGUAAUACAGAAUUUAUUUGAGCUUUGUAAUUUUGGAUAUAUUUGUAUUCAACAGUUGUAGAAGAGGUAUCCAUAUUCUUUACAUGAGCAUAAAUAGCAAUAGACCCCUUUCACAGCAGACAUUUGACUUGUCAAAGCAGGAAAAGCACAGGUGGAAUAAAUAACAUUAAUGAUAGCUGCAUUAAAUUCAGGUGAACCAGUUGCAGGGCUCUCAUACUGUGCAUGCUCACUCACUGAUGUUGCUUGCUGGGACAAUUCAAUGAAUGGAGCCAUUGUUAGUGUUAUUAUUUACACCUGUGCUUUUCCUGCUUUGACAAGUCAAAAUAUAAAUGGUCUGUACCACAUUGUAGAAACUCAGUUACAAGUAAAAUUUUACUUAAGUUACAGAGGUUUGUACUUAGGAAUCAAAAGUGUAAUCAAUGUACUCAUUCCAUUGUACUCUUUGAAAAAGUAAUUAUAUUACUCAUCAGCCAAACUUGUCACAUUGCCUUUGUUAUAUUCAUAGCUCUGAAAGAGGUGCCCUCCAAUAACCCCGAAACCUUCAC